ensembl:lncRNA novel transcript, antisense to MC4R
CACUCUCCAGCAUUCAUUACACAGUGGUUUCCUUUUAAAUUCUAGGACAUGCCAAGCUGUUUCAACCUCUGUGCCUGAGAACCUGCUGUUUCUUCUUAUCUGCACAUUUCCCUACUUGUCAUAUGGCUGGCUCCUUGUCAUCACUCAGAUCUCACAGUAUCGCAUCAGAAGAUUUAUCUACAAAAUAUGCAUGAAUAAAGAGAGGAAAUUCUUGAAUACACAGAGAUUGAAGACAGGAAAAAUCUGAGCCAGAUAUUGUUGGUUGCAUCAUGGAUCCAGAAUCUGCAGAUACAGAGGCCAACUGUCCUUUUCAUUUCCCUAUGUUCUUCAGCUUACCUUCACAUGGUAGAUGCCCAGGAAAGACCCUGAAACUUAUGAAAGAAGUUGGCAGAUUCUAAAAUCCACAUGGAAAAACAAAGGAUCCAGAAGAACAAACAAAAAACACUGAUAAAGAAGAACAAAACUGGAAGUCUUAUACAUCCUGCUUUUCAACUUCACUGCAAAGCUACAGUAAUGAAGGCAGCCUGCUACUGGCAUAAGAAGAGACACAUAGAUCAAUGAAGUAAAAUUGACAGCUCAGAAAUGAACCCUUACAUGUAUAGUUAAUUGAUUUUCAACAAGAAUGCUUAGACUAUUAAAUGAAGUAAAAUGGUCUUUUCUUCAACAAAUAAUGCCAGGACAACUGAAUAUUCAUGCUAAAGAAUCAAGUUGGAUCCUUAUCUCUCACUGUUACCAAAAUCAACUCAAAAUGAAUAAUAAACCCAUGUGUAGGAACUGAUACUCUUGGAAUAAAACUUUGAAGUAAUGUUUGUGAUUUUGAGUUAGUUUUCUUAGAUAUGACACUAAAAUCAGGAUAUAAAUUGUACUUCAUCAAAACUUAAAACUUUUAUGCUUCAAAGAACACCAGCAAGAAAGUCAAAAGGUAACUCACAGAAUGUCAGAAAAUAUGUGCAAAUGACAUAUCUAAUAAGGGACUGAAAUCCAAAAUGCAUAAAGAACUAUCACAACUCAGUUACAAAAAGACAACCCAAUUUUUAAAAUGAGCAAAAGAUUUGAAUGAUCAUUUCUUCAAGGAGAUAUACAAUUCAACAAUAAGUACUGAAAAGUUGCUCAAGUCAAUUAGUCAUUAGGUAGAUGCAAAUCUAUGCCACAAACAGCGCUUUCUACUUGCUAGGAUGACUACAAUGAAAAGACAGUAACAAGUCUUGGCAAAGAUGUGGAGAAAUUGGAUCAGCACAUUGCUGACGGGAUUGUAAAACAGGGCCAUGACUUUGGAAAACAGUUUAACAAUUCCUCCAAAUAUUAAACAUGUAGUUAUCUUUAUAACCCAGCAAUUGCACUUCAAUAUGUAUGUGCCCAAGAGAAAGGAAAACAUAUGUCUACACAAAAGCUUGUACAAGAAUGUUCAUAGCAGCAGUAUUCAUACUAGUCAAGAAAGUAUAAAGAAAUCAAAAUGUGGUAUAUCCAUACAUAGGAAGUUAUAUAGCAAUAAAAUGGAAUGAAGUGUUAAUAUUUGCUAUAACACAGACGAACUUGGAAAACAUUACACUAAAUAACUGAAGCUAGUGAUGAAAGGCCAGAUACUACAUGAUCUCAUUUAUAUAAAAUAUUCAGAAUAGGCAAAUCCAUAAAGACAGAAAGAAAGAUUAGUAUUUGCUAAGGGCUGGGAGUUGGAGUAGGGAGAAUGAUGAGUGAUUGCUAGUGUAUAUAGGUUUUUUUGGUGUAGUGGUAAUAAAAAUGUCCUCUAUUGGAUACUGGUAAUAAUUGCAUAACACUAAAUAUUCUAAAAAGCACUAAAUUGGUUUUCAGAGGGCAUAAAGGGGAGGCAGAAGCAGAGGAAGAGAGAGACAGAGAGAAUGAAGGAGAGGGAAGGGAUGGACCUUAAAAAAAUACAGAGAGAAAUGACAGGACAUCUAAAACUAAUGACAACUAGAAUGACAGCUGACUUCACAUCAGCAGGAAUAAAAAAAUCACCUAUGAAAAAAAUAUAUAUGUAUAUGUAUAUGAUAGAGAUGCUACUGUAAAAAAUAAAAUAGGGAAAGGAUGGAUUGUUUUUUAAAAAUUACUGUUCCAUUACCUAGCUAUAUACGUGAUUUGAAACUUAAAACUAGAUCCC